UAUAACUUCAUAAAUAUUUUUUGAAAAUGAGCUUCUUAACUGACCGUCCCUAGCGCAAAUGGCAAAGGGCUUGAUGGUUGGCACCCGAGAUCCUAAGUUUGAAUCCUAGUUGAUUCAUAUUUCCAGCUAAGUUUAUUUUUAAAAAAGAUAAACGAAGCGGGUAGCAUACUACGUAUCUCUCUCAAAAAAGAAAACGAGCUCCUUUACACCAGAUCUACCAUGGAACCCUCAACUUUAUUUUUUUUAAA
rnacentral:lncRNA from 1 species